CAUACACACACACCUGGGCCCCGCCAUCACCCCAGAGGUCCAGCUGCCCACCUGACCUCCCACGGCUUGAUUUGCAUUGACGGGCCCCAGAUGGAGAUGCUGGGGGCGGUGGAAGUGAUGCUGCUGCCUGAAUGCCCACACAGCGCUGCCUGCACCUCUCCUGAAUAGCAUCUGACCACCUGCAUUUCAGUCCCUCGGAUAUUAGGUGUCCCCCUGGUCAGCUGAGCUGACUGUCACCCUAGAAAGACACUUUCUCCUUUGGGCCUCAGAUUCCUCAUCAAAACAACGGAAGUAUUUGCUUGCCUUUGUUCAGUCACUCAGUCGUGUCUGACUCUUUGCAGCUCCAUGGACUGCGGCAUGCCAGGCCUCCCUGUCUUUCACCAUCUCCCGGAGUUUACUCAAACUCAUGUCCAUCCAGCCAUCUCAACCUCUGUCGCCCUCUUCUCCUGCCCUCAAUCUUUCCCAGCAUUAGGAUCUUUUCCAAAGAGCUGACUCUUCGCAUCAGGCUGGGGGUGAAUGCCUUCAGGAGGGAGACCAAGACUUCCUCACCUGAAAAGGAUGGGUGCCCUCCAUGUGGCCUGGCACACAGGGGUCCCUCUGUAGGUCUCACAGGAUUGGGUGAAGAGUCAACUAUAAAGGUGCUGAGGCUCAGCUUGUAUGUGGACACAAUCUCUCUGAAGUUCUGGAUGAGAUGUCCCUGGACAAGAUGGUAUCAUUGUUGCCAUUGGACAGAUAAGAAACCUGGGU
ensembl:lncRNA